AGACUUACUGGGUUUUGGAGUAAUUACGCUCGUGUCCGAGCAAGUUCUCCAAAUAAAUCCAGCUCUUGGGCAGGAUCAAAGCUGAUAACAGCUGGAACCAGCACAGAGCUCUUGCUGUUCCAUUGAGCCUUGGCCUAAAAUUUUAGUGGCUUUAAAACAGCCCGAAAGGUUCUGGACUUUAGCAAGUGGCUGCUGAGCUCUGGGUUAAAAAGCAGCAGCUCUGGUACAUAAUUCCUGCAUUCUGUCUGCGAUAAAUAUAAUUUUAGGCCUGAAAGCGUUUUCACUUGGCCACUGGGGUUAUGAAAAGAGUGAAGUGGUGGCAAAACCAAGAGCUUUUGGCUUCACAGUUGCAAGAGUUUGGUAUUUCAGGUAUCUUUGCCCAGAUAUGCCAGUGGUAGGGAGAGAUUUUCUUGGCCCGAGCUGAUCUUUUUAACUAGUCAUAUGGUCCCAGCAAGAAAACUGGUGAAUGUAGAACCCUGAUAUUCCUGCUCAAGGCUGCUAAUGAUGUGUCAAAUGGAACUUAUUGCUUAUUUUCUUACUUUUUUUUUUUCUCCUUGUCUCAUUAAUUUUAUUCUUAGAAUUUUGUGUUAUAAACAGGCCACUAGAGUGGGCUUAGGCUGGUUUUUCUUAAAGGAGCAGCUGGCUGCAGUUCUGCAAUGAAAAGUGUAGAAAAGGCAGGGAGUUAAAUCUCCAGCCGUGUGGUAUUAGGGGAAGGAAGAGAAAACUUGAAGGCCAAGCGAGGUGUUCAGCAAGGCAUGGCAGGAGGACCGGGUGGUGCAGAUCAUGGCACAGAUGGUAGAGUUGGCAAGUGCAGCUGGCUGGCUACAAGGAAUCCUCCUUUGCUCUGAAGAACUUUCUUCCUGUUCAUUUCCCCUCUACUUCCUGAUGAUCCAGGCUCGUAGAAAAAUAGUAAACUUAUUUUGUGUUUCAUGCUGGCCAAUGGA